rnacentral:rRNA from 1 species
GAUGAACGCUAGCUACAGGCUUAACACAUGCAAGUCGAGGGGAAACGAUAGAGAAAGCUUGCUUUUUCUAGGCGUCGACCGGCGCACGGGUGAGUAACGCGUAUCCAACCUGCCCAUCACUUGGGGACAACCUUGCGAAAGUAAGACUAAUACCCAAUGACGUCCCUAGAAGACAUCUGAAAGGGAUUAAAGAUGUAUCGGGUAUGGAUGGGGAUGCGUCUGAUUAGCUUGUUGGCGGGGUAACGGCCCACCAAGGCGACGAUACGUAGGGGUUCGAAGAGGAAGGUCCCCCAGAUUGGAACUGAGACACGGUCCAAACGCCUACGGGAGGCAGCAGUGAGGAAUAUUGGUCAAUGGGCGAGAGCCUGAACCAGCCAAGUAGCGUGCAGGAUGACGGCCCUAUGGGUUGUAAACUGCUUUUAUAAGGGAAUAAAGUGAGCCUCGUGAGGCUUUUUGCAUGUACCUUAUGAAUAAGGACCGGCUAAUUCCGUGCCAGCAGCCGCCGUAA